CAAAUCAUUUAAAAGAAAUCAGCAGAAAACGGUCAUAAGCGAGUGAACAAAAGCUGCUAUAGUGUUUCAAGCAGACUCUGAAAAGCAACAUCAAAUGUACAAUAACAAUGUAUGUUAUACAUAUAAAGUACCGACUGAAUCAAAUGGCAAGAGGCAACAUCUACGACUCAGUGGUCUAGCAUGUAACUAUCUAUCGUGAAACAACAUUUUAAGACAAUAAAACCAGUCCAAGACACUAGCAGAUCACCUCGACAAAAACAGCUAUCAGUUUCUUCCAAGGGGCAAAGAUCUGCAAGAAUAAGUCUCCUUGAAGUCAGACUUUCUUGAUGAAGUGAAAAUGGAGGCAUAGACUUCCUUUGUAGCAUGAGCUGGAGCUACAUCAACAGCCUUAAACCUCUUCCCAGACCCGUUGCUCGAACUAUUCUUCACAUCCUUAACUUCAAUCUUACUUUUAAUGCCAAUUUUACCAUUCCCUUCCACUUUCCUUGCAUCCUUGCCUACCAGCUUAUCCUCAAUCCCAUGUUUCAUUCCGCUCAAGCGUGAUGCCCCAAUGACCUCUUCACCAUUCACAGCUACAUCCACAUUCCUCCCCUUCUUCACCUUCUUACUAUCCUUCAAUUUCACCCUUUCUUCCUCCAUUCUCUCCCUCAAAGCCGCAACCUCUUCUUCACUCCCGUUGAUCACAAUUUUGUCACUCUCCACAACCUCCUUGUGGCAAACCAAACAAGCCGAGGAUUUCACCUCCUUCAAAGCUUUUGCACUCAAAACAUGCCCACAACCCCUCAAAGCAAAGAACUUGUACUUCCCAUUGAACUCCAACCCUGUUACCGGGCACUGAAACCCAGUCCCUUCACCAUCACCAAGCCCUCUAUCCUCUUUGCCCGGAAUCACCGAUAGCUCAACCGGAAUCAUAUCUUUCAAUCCCUUUAUAUACCCAAACUGCUUAGGCAGCCUUUUCUUCAAUAAAGCCUCAACUAACGUCUCCUUAUUGAACAAAUUCCCAAGCUUAUCAAUAACAACAGGAUGCUUUAAUGACUCGUUCGACAACGCACAAUUCAACCAUCUAGACAACCUAAUCUCAUUUGGAUCAAUUUUAUCCGGUUUCUUAACAGCAUACAUCUUGAGAUAACAGUCUCGGGACUCCGCUCCCGUGGCACCUCCAUCACCACCACCACCACGAAGGCGGAAACGUAGUACCAAAGUGGAAAACGGGCUAAUCCCAGAACCAUAUAAUAGAGUUGAAUCCUUAAUGGGUCGACCAUCAAAAGUAAGAUAGACAGAAUCCUUAAUUGCAGCCAAUGAUUUCUGGGUUUUUUCAAGCAAACAUGAUUUGAGGUCUUGCAAAGUGAAAUUAGGAUUAGGGUUUUCAAUAUUUAGGACAUGAGUAGGGAUCUGAAGCUCUGGCGAUUGUAUAAAAACUGGGAAAUUGCGCAUUUGGGGUUCCAUUAUUAGGGUUUAUGAAUUGAAAUCGAAGAGAAAUUUAAAAAAGAAUACCUGAAUUGAAGAGAAAUCGAAGAGCUCUG
rnacentral:misc_RNA from 1 species